CUUGAACGCUUGCGUCAUGCCUAAAACAUGCAAGUCGAAUGAUUGGCGGAAGGGUGAGCAAUGUUUUGGAAAUUGCUUGAUGGAGGGGGAUAAUUUCUGGAAACGGUAGCUAAUACCGCAUAUCAUUGUAUUUUUUCAGAAGGGAUUAGCUUGUAGGUGGGGUAAAGGCUCACCUAGGCGACGAUCCCUAGCUGGUCUGAGAGGAAGACCAGCCACACUGGAACGGAGCCACGGUCCAGACUCCUACGUGAGGCAGCAGUGGGGAAUAUUGCACAAUGGGCGCAAGCCUGAUGCAGCCAUGCCGCGUGUAUGAAGAAGGCCUUCGGGUUGUAAAGUACUUUCAGCGGGGAGGCGUUACCCGCAGAAGAAGCACAGGCUAACUCCGUGCCAGCAGCCGCGGUAAUAC
rnacentral:rRNA from 1 species